AUAUCACCUCACUCAUUCAGAUUUUUUAGACAAUUAUAGCUGAUCAAGCUGAAGUGCUGCCUGUUGUAGUUGGAAACAUCUGGAGGAAGCUCAUGAUUUAUUUCGUUGAUGACCUCAUUAGCUUUCAUCUGCAAUAAUGAAAUGGGUCAAAUGUGCCCAUUAGAUUCGGCGAGUGCUUUCACUUUACAUGGCCUCUCAUCCCCGUCGACUUCUUGUGCUAGAGCAGCAUUAUGUAAAAUCUUUGAAGAGCAAAAUGCGGAUUUGGAAUUAUUUCUGCUCUAGUGUGUACACCGGGCAAUCUCAUAGGCGUGGAUCCAUAGUGGCAAUUUUCUUGCCGGUGCAAUGCUAUUGGGAGGUUACUGUAAUUUGACAUGCACACAUGCAGUUAACAAGUCCAAGUCUUGGUCUUUCUUUCCACAGCACCAAGGUAAAGUGUCCAAGUCUCUUAACAAGCCCUAGUCUUUCUUUCCCUUGCAUUGAGGUAAAAUGAGUAAAUGCAGUAUGUUUCUUAUAUCAUAGAUUUUGUGCUGUUUACAGAUCUUAUAUAUUUUUUAUUCACUGUCUUAAUGUUUUUUGCA